rnacentral:rRNA from 1 species
CUUUUAAUCCGUUUGGAAUUGAGCAUAUCAAUAAGCGGAGGAAAAGAAACUAACAAGGAUUCCCCUGGUAAAUGCGAGUGAAGCGGGAAAAGCUCAAAUUUAAAAUCCGGCGGUCUUUGGCCGUCCGAGUUGUAGUCUGGAGAAGUGCUUUCCGCGCUGGACCGUGUAUAAGUCUCUUGGAACAAAGCGUCAUAGAGGGUGAGAAUCCCGUCUUUGACACGGACGACCAGUGCUUUGUGAUGCGCUCUCAAGAGUCGAGUUGUUUGGGAAUGCAGCUCAAAAUGGGUGGUGAAUUCCAUCUAAAGCUAAAUAUUGGCGAGAGACCGAUAGCGAACAAGUACCGUGAGGGAAAGAUGAAAAGCACUUUGGAAAGAGAGUUAAACAGUACGUGAAAUUGCUGAAAGGGAAACGCUUGAAGUCAGUCGCGUCUGCCGGAACUCAGCCUUACUUUUGGUUGGUGCACCUUAUCGUUGACGGGCGAGAAUCGAUUUUGCCCGUAGGAUAAGGGCAGGAGAAAUGUGGCACCGAAGGGUGUGUAAUUGUCAUCAGUCCCGUCCUACGGUUGGGAUCGAGGACCGCAGCGCGCCCCAAGGCAGGGGUUCCACCUGACGUCGCGUCCGUCCAU